AACCAAACCUUCAUCAGGAUUAUCAUAGUCCUGAUAAAAGUUUAGUUGAUUGAUGGGUAAAGGUAUCAUAAAAAUGCCUUAGAAACAUGUGCAAGAUUACCUAUAGAGAUAUCUAUCCUCUGCAGACCCUGUUUUGUAGUGACAACAGCUAAAGACAGAUGAAGUCACCAGGAGAUGAAGAAAGUGACUGCUCCCCGUCCGUUACCUCCACAUAAUCUGAAGUUUACUUGUGCAGUCUUUGCAAAAAAAUGUGAAGCCCCCGUAAGUAAUACUGACACUUUAACACAAAUUUUGUCAACACAGUGCGGCUACUUUUAAAUUUUAAAGAUCAGCAAGGUAGUUGUAAUGACCACUUAUUUGUUUAUUAUGAACAAAAACAACCAAGUACAUCCUGUUUAACAGAAAUGCACAGAACUGAAGCAUACAGAUGCUUUGGUAUUUUUUUUGCCAUGCUGUUGGAGGUACAUGGAUGUAUAUACUUGACAGUAUGUAAAAUUAAUUCACAUGCUUAGAAUAUACAUGACAAUAAUUAAUUCAUCAAAUCAGUUCCUGCAUGUGAUUGAUUGAUUAAUUGAUCUGCUCUGGCAGCAUGUAAUUUUUACACUAUUUCAAAAAGUAAUCUUAAAGUGUUUGGCACUCAUAGCUGAUUGGAGAAAUAUGGCCCCAGUGGCAAAGCCAGCUGCACUGUUCAUUAAAAUACAUUUAAUUCAAUUAAUUUUCAUUAACAUAAAGCUUAUUGUAACAAGUGCACCUUUUUAUUGCAUAUUUGCAUCAUAUAAAUUUGUUUACAUUAAAGAGGAAACUAUAGAUUAACCAUAACACUCCAUACUCUUUAACAUUCUCAGAUGUACCUAAAAUGUAAAUGUGAUGUAACUAAAAUGUAAAUGUGAUUAUAUCUUGGAUGAACUAAUAAUAAGAUAUAAUAAAAAAUUUCCAUCAGGAUGAAGGAGUGCUUCAUUGCCAUCUUCACAUUGUGAUGUAUCGAACUCAAGCAUUGUGUUCCAAGAGUUCUCAAGAGAAAAUGGAAGGCAAAUAUGAUUUCAGCUGCCUGCUAAUUUACAAUAACCAUAUUUAACAUUUUGUGUCUUGUCUGUCUGUUAUUCUACUGUAUUUCAUUGUAAUGAUAUUUUAUGAAAAAUGCUAAAGAAAACCAAAACCCCAAACCACAUCACUUGUGACUGUCUCUGUUUUGCAGCAAAUCCACAGGAUGUUCUGGAAAUGCCUCUUAGCCAAUUCUAGAUCUCUUAUUGUUUCAUUAGGUACUCUGUUUGCAUCCCCUUUGCAGUUUUUACACAGAUAGAUGUAUAUAUCCAUGCACCCAUCCAUCCACCCACCCAUCCAUCUAUCCAUCCAUCCACCCAUCCAUCCAUCCAUCCAUCCAUCCAUGUAUCCAUCCAUCCAUCCAUCCAACCAUCCAUCCAUCCAUGUAUCCAUCCAACCAUCCAUCCAUCCAUCCAUCCAUCCACAUCACACAAUGAGAAAAAUUGAGCUGUCAGCACAGGCUUGAGAUGAGACCAAUUAAGACAAAUGGAUGAUAAACUUAUUGCUCUCAUUAGCCUAAAGUGGUCUAUAUUUUUCUCCCAUAUGCUACCAAUAUCUUUCUGUUGACUUAUUCCCUUCCUAUAUUUAAACAUUAGUGCUCCUACCUAAUUUUAUUGUAACAGAGAUAAUAUGCGCUCACAAAUCCUGACACAAUAUGAAAGUGCCGAGUUUCUAAAAAAUUAGGUUUUAAAUUUUCAAAUAAUACUGUUCUUGGAAGAUAAACUGUACUUGAGACCACAGAGGGCUAUAAACAGGUACUGCUAUAAAGUUAGGGUUGAGCCAAAAAGUGUUUAACUUAUGUGCAUUCAAUACAAAAUAACAAGUCUAUUUUGCAUGUAAUCCUUUAUUGGAAACAAUAAUAAAAAGUGAUUAUAGGUUUCCUUAACAAGUUCAUCUUGACAUUGAUUGAAAAAUGUAACCUAUUUUACAUUGCGACCAGGUGUGGACUCCUAGGUCCAUCCUCUUCUUGUGUCCUUUAUCCACUUUUUAUCAUCAAUAAAGUAUUUGAAAAGAAAAGAAUGCUGAGAGAUAUAUCCAUAUGGAUCCAUCUCUUGGAACCUUGCUUACAGACUCUUUUAUUUUAAGUGAAAUCGAGUUAGUGGAUUCAGAGAGGAAUUGUCCUUUGGUAUUCCUGUCUCUGUUGAAGAAUCUUAGCUCUGUACUGAAUGUAAAGGAAAAUAAAUAUAUUGCAGCCAUUAUUUGUCAUGCUGAUCACAAAUAAGGUGUCAAAUUACAAGAUUUUGUACAGCUACAUUUUGCAUUGUAGAUAUAUCAUCUUGAGGGAAGAUUGCUGGUCACUUUUUUUUGUCAAACAUUGAGGUGUUAGGUUUUUAGUAAGGUGUAUGUACCUUGGCAUUGUUGCAUCUGAUUAGUAGGC